CCUACGGGCGGCAGCAGUGAGGAAUAUUGGUCAAUGGUCGGGAGACUGAACCAGCCAAGCCGCGUGAGGGAUGAAGGUACAGAGUAUCGUAAACCUCUUUUGUCAGGGAACAAAGGCGGGGACGCGUCCCCGGAUGAGUGUACCUGAAGAAAAAGCAUCGGCUAACUCCGUGCCAGCAGCCGCGGUAAUACGGAGGAUGCGAGCGUUAUCCGGAUUUAUUGGGUUUAAAGGGUGCGCAGGCGGUCUGUUAAGUCAGCGGUGAAAGCCCGGGGCUCAACCCCGGUCUGGCCGUUGAAACUGGCAGUCUCGAGUGGGAGAGAGGUAGGCGGAAUGCGCGGUGUAGCGGUGAAAUGCAUAGAUAUCGCGCAGAACUCCGAUUGCGAAGGCAGCAUGCCGGCUCCACACUGACGCUGAGGCACGAAAGCGUGGGUAUCGAACAGGAUUAGAUACCCGAGUAGUC
rnacentral:rRNA from 1 species